rnacentral:rRNA from 1 species
AGGGAAUCUUCGGCAAUGGGGGCAACCCUGACCGAGCAACGCCGCGUGAGUGAAGAAGGUUUUCGGAUCGUAAAGCUCUGUUGUAAGUCAAGAACGAGUGUGAGAGUGGAAAGUUCACACUGUGACGGUAGCUUACCAGAAAGGGGCGGCUAACUACGUGCCAGCAGCCGCGGUAAUACGUAGGUCCCGAGCGUUGUCCGGAUUUAUUGGGCGUAAAGCGAGCGCAGGCGGUUUGAUAAGUCUGAAGUUAAAGGCUGUGGCUCAACCAUAGUUCGCUUUGGAAACUGUCAAACUUGAGUGCAGAAGGGGAGAGUGGAAUUCCAUGUGUAGCGGUGAAAUGCGUAGAUAUAUGGAGGAACACCGGUGGCGAAAGCGGCUCUCUGGUCUGUAACUGACGCUGAGGCUCGAAAGCGUGGGGAGCGAACAGGAUUAGAUACCCUGGUAGUCCACGCCGUAAACGAUGAGUGCUAGGUGUUGGAUCCUUUCCGGGAUUCAGUGCCGCAGCUAACGCAUUAAGCACUCCGCCUGGGGAGUACGACCGCAAGGUUG